rnacentral:rRNA from 1 species
AAUAGAUACCCAGGUAGUCCACGCCGUAAACGAUGAAUACUAGGUGUAGGGUUGUCAUGACCUCUGUGCCGCCGCUAACGCAUUAAGUAUUCCGCCUGGGGAAUACGGUCGCAAGAUUAAAACUCAAAGGAAUUGACGGGGGCCCGCACAAGCAGCGGAGCAUGUGGUUUAAUUCGAAGCAACGCGAAGAACCUUACCUAGACUUGACAUCUCCUGCAUUACCCUUAAUCGGGGAAGUUCCUUCGGGAACAGGAAGACAGGUGGUGCAUGGUUGUCGUCAGCUCGUGUCGUGAGACGUUGGGUUAAGUCCCGCAACGAGCGCAACCCUUAUUGUUAGUUGCUACCAUUUAGUUGAGCACUCUAGCGAGACUGCCCGGGUUAACCGGGAGGAAGGUGGGGAUGACGUCAAAUCAUCAUGCCCCUUAUGUCCAGGGCUACACACGUGCUACAAUGGCAAGUACAAAGAGAAGCAAGACCGCGAGGUGGAGCAAAACUCAAAAACUUGUCUCAGUUCGGAUUGUAGGCUGAAACUCGCCUACA